AGGCCGUGAUGUGGACAAAGCCUCAUUGUAUCCUUGUAUCUCUCCCAUGCUUCGAAAAGAUAUUCGUUGUCUUUUUGUUUAAACCCGUUUAUUCUGGCUCUUAGCAU